rnacentral:rRNA from 1 species
GAUGAACGCUGGCGGCGUGCCUAAUACAUGCAAGUCGAGCGAACGGACGAGAAGCUUGCUUCUCUGAUGUUAGCGGCGGACGGGUGAGUAACACGUGGAUAACCUCCCUAUAAGACUGGGAUAACUUCGGGAAACCGGAGCUAAUACCGGAUAAUAUUUUGAACCGCAUGGUUCAAAAGUGAAAGACGGUCUUGCUGUCACUUAUAGAUGGAUCCGCGCUGCAUUAGCUAGUUGGUAAGGUAACGGCUUACCAAGGCAACGAUGCAUAGCCGACCUGAGAGGGUGAUCGGCCACACUGGAACUGAGACACGGUCCAGACUCCUACGGGAGGCAGCAGUAGGGAAUCUUCCGCAAUGGGCGAAAGCCUGACGGAGCAACGCCGCGUGAGUGAUGAAGGUCUUCGGAGCGUAAAACUCUGUUAUUAGGGAAGAACAUAUGUGUAAGUAACUGUGCACAUCUUGACGGUACCUAAUCAGAAAGCCACGGCUAACUACGUG